UUUUUACUCCGGAACUGGCCUGAUCGCGCUUGGAGCCUUGCAAUUACAAAGCAGAUUUGUCUAACGUUACUUCACUUUUUACGUCAUGUGAAAUUGUUAACUGAAUGAGCUAUCUUUUGAAUCUGUGAAGGCAUUUGAUUUGUUGAUGCUAUUGCUGAGUUGGAUACUGAUCAUACGGACGAUUCAAGGAAGAAGAAGAAGAAGAAAGGAAGUGAGAAGUAGUGAAACAAGGGCAAAUGCUGAGGUGGCACAAGUGGAUGAGUCAGGAAAGAGCUGGCUUUGCUGUUACUCUUCAGAUUUAUGCUGGCUGAUGAUUUGAUGGUAUUGUGAAGGAGACGCUAUGACUACUCUAAACCUUUAACAAUGGUGGUUCGAUGAACGUGACGAUGAGGUGUUUGUUGAGGUUUCCAAGUUUCAUUAGGUCGAUUGCAACAUUGGAGUUGAUUUUGCUUCGAUUCAAGCUAAAAUAUUAAUGCCUACAAGGUGUUCGACAAAAUUGCUUCUGGGAGAAGAAGGAAGCAACAACGUACGUAAGCAGAGGAAUCGCCUUCUUAAGGCAUGGGGCCAUUUUAAGUUCGAAACAAUGUCACGAAUUCGACAACUCCCAGCAUUUGUUGUUCUGUUUCUCACGUUGGAAGGAUCCAAUUGGACAAAGGAACAGCUUUAAGAUGAUGAGACGGAGUGGCUGCGAUUAUAGGACAAUAAAUCACUAUCUGAAACUCUGCAACUCAUCAUUGAGUUCUUUCCCUGUCAGUUUCCUUACGAGUUCUUGAAUACGUGUGGGAUCCACCAACAAGAAUCACCUCAUCAAUAUCCAAGACUGCUUCAGGUGCUCCAGUUCAGGCUGGUGUUCUAUCUGGAGAUGUGAGGGACAUUGUUCUUCUUGAUGUGUCACUUGGUUUGGAAACUUUUGGUGGUGUCAUGACCAAGAUCAUUUUAAGAAACACCACACUUCCAAUUUCCAACUUCUAAAUCAGAAGUCUUCUCAACUGCUGCAGAUGGACAGACAAAAUGUGUUACAGGGUGAGAGAGAGAGUUCGUAAGAGAUAACAAGUCUAUUGGUAGCUUCCGUCUUGAUGGUAUCCCGCCUGCACCACGUGGAGUUCCACAAAUCGAGGUCAAUUUUGAUACUGAUGCCAAUGGAAUUCUAUCUAUCUGUCAGUGCUUCCGACAACGGCACUGGAAAAGAAGCAGGACAUCACCAUUACUGGUGCUAGUACCUUGCCAAAGGAUGAGGUAGACACAAUGGUGCAAGAAGCAGAGAGGUUUGCCAAGGAAGACAAAGAAAAGAGAGAUGCAUGCGAUUGACACAAAGAACCAGGCUGAUUCCAUCGUGUAGAACCAAGAAGUGAUGCUGAUUAAUUAGCCAGUCUCUUUACAACCAACCUCAAUCAGGUUCUCCUCCUGGAGGUGAAGCGUCCUCGGAUCUGACUCAUCAUCUUCAACCAAAGGUGGAGACAAUGGUGAUGAUGUGAUCGACGCUGACUUCACUGACAGCAAAUAAAUACAAUUCGGAUUCAUACAAGUAUUAUUCUUGGGGUUUGUCCAUGAUUAUAUACACAGACUGUUGCGGUGUUAUGCAGCUCUGUACACAUCAGAGGCGGAGUCCGUGGUUCUUAGGACUUUGAGGAACACUGCUUGCUCUGCCCCUGUACCUGCGCUCUUCAUUGCAUCCACACCUGCCAUUACCACCACCUGAGUUAUGCGCGGUUGUGUAUAAUUGGUUAAAACCGUGACCCGGUUAAGGAGCUCGGAAUGAAUAAUGAGAUCAUCUUGAUUUUUUUUUGGAUAC